UACGUAGGGUGCGAGCGUUGUCCGGAAUUAUUGGGCGUAAAGAGCUCGUAGGCGGUCUGUCACGUCGGUCGUGAAAAGCUGGGGCUCAACCCCAGUCCUGCUUCCGAUACGGGUGGACUAGAGGUAGGCAGGGGAGAACGGAAUUCCUGGAUGUAGCGGUGAAAUGCGCAGAUAUCAGGAGGAACACCGGUGGCGAAGGCGGCCCGCUGGGCAGUUGCUGACACUGGAGGCGCGACAGCGUGGGGAGCAAACAGG
rnacentral:rRNA from 1 species